AUUGAACGCUGGCGGCGUGCUUAACACAUGCAAGUCGUGCGGUAACAGGCGUAGCAAUACGUGCUGACGAGCGGCGAACGGGUGCGUAAUACAUGGGAAUCUGCCCUUUGGUGGGGAAUAACCCGGCGAAAGCCGGGCUAAUGCCGCAUAAGAUCUUCGGAUGAAAGCGGGGGAUCGUAAGACCUCGCGCCGAUGGAUGAGCCCAUGUCGGAUUAGCUAGUUGGNGAGGUAACGGCUCACCAAGGCGACGAUCCGUAGCUGGUCUGAGAGGACGGCCAGCCACACUGGGACUGAGACACGGCCCAGACUCCUACAGGAGGCAGCAGUGGGGAAUAUUGGACAAUGGGCGAAAGCCUGAUCCAGCGACGCCGCGUGUGU
rnacentral:rRNA from 1 species